AGAGUUUGAUCCUGGCUCAGGAUGAACGCUAGCUACAGGCUUAACACAUGCAAGUCGAGGGGAAACGACAUCGAAAGCUUGCUUUUGAUGGGCGUCGACCGGCGCACGGGUGAGUAACGCGUAUCCAACCUGCCCAUCACUUGGGGAUAACCUUGCGAAAGUAAGACUAAUACCCAAUGAUAUCUCUAGAAGGCAUCUGAAAGAGAUUAAAGAUUUAUCGGUGAUGGAUGGGGAUGCGUCUGAUUAGCUUGUUGGCGGGGUAACGGCCACCAAAGCAACGAUCAGUAGGGGUUCUGAGAGGAAGUCCCCCANAUUGGAACUGAGACACGGUCCAAACUCCUACGAGAGGCA
rnacentral:rRNA from 1 species